rnacentral:rRNA from 1 species
UACGUAGGGGGCAAGCGUUGUCCGGAUUUAUUGGGCGUAAAGAGCGUGUAGGCGGCCUGAAAGGUCAGCUGUGAAAACUCGAGGCUCAACCUCGAGACGUCGGUUGAAACCAUCUGGCUAGAGUCCGGAAGAGGAGUGUGGAAUUCCCGGUGUAGCGGUGAAAUGCGCAGAUAUCGGGAAGAACACCCGUGGCGAAGGCGGGUCUCUGGGCAGUAACUGACGCUGAGGAGCGAAAGCGUGGGGAGCGAACAGG